GGAGAGAUGUCCGAGUGGUUGAAGGAGCACGCCUGGAAAGCGUGUGUAUGGUCAAAGCUGUACCGAGGGUUCGAAUCCCUCUCUCUCCGCCA
rnacentral:tRNA from 1 species